AGACCCGAAACCCGGUGAUCUAGCCAUGGGCAGGUUGAAGGUUGGGUAACACUAACUGGAGGACCGAACCGACUAAUGUUGAAAAAUUAGCGGAUGACCUGUGGCUGGGGGUGAAAGGCCAAUCAAACCGGGAGAUAGCUGGUUCUCCCCGAAAGCUAUUUAGGUAGCGCCUCGUGAAUUCAUCUCCGGGGGUAGAGCACUGUUUCGGCUAGGGGGCCAUCCCGGCUUACCAACCCGAUGCAAACUGCGAAUACCGGAGAAUGUUAUCACGGGAGACACACGGCGGGUGCUAACGUCCGUCGUGAAGAGGGAAACAACCCAGACCGCCAGCUAAGGUCCCAAAGUCAUGGUUAAGUGGGAAACGAUGUGGGAAGGCCCAGACAGCCAGGAUGUUGGCUUAGAAGCAGCCAUCAUUUAAAGAAAGCGUAAUAGCUCACUGGUCGAGUCGGCCUGCGCGGAAGAUGUAACGGGGCUAAACCAUGCACCGAAGCUGCGGCAGCGACACUGUGUGUUGUUGGGUAGGGGAGCGUUCUGUAAGCCUGUGAAGGUGUGUCGUGAGGCAUGCUGGAGGUAUCAGAAGUGCGAAUGCUGACAUAAGUAACGAUAAAGCGG
rnacentral:rRNA from 1 species